GUGUGUGUGUGUGUGUGAGUGAGUGACUAAGUGUGUGUGUGUGAGUGGGUAUAAGUUAUGUGAGUGUGUGUGUGAGUGUAAGUGACUAAGUGUGUGCGAGUGUGCGAGUGUGUGUGUGAGUGUGUGUGACUAAGUGUGUGUGUGUGAGUGGGUAUAAGUUAUGUGAGUGUGUGUGUGAGUGUAAGUGACUAAGUGUGUGCGAGUGUGUGUGUGAGUGUGUGUGUGUGGGUGUGUGUGUGUGUGAGUGGGUAUAAGUUAUGUGAGUGUGUGUGUGAGUGUGUGGGUAUAAGUUAUGUGAGUGCGUGUGUGAGUGUAAGUGACUAAGUGUGUGCGAGUGUGUGUGUGUGUGUGACUGGGUGUGCCUGAGUGUAAGUGACUAAGUGUGUGUGUGUGAGUGGGUAUAAGUUAUGUGAGUGCGUGUGUGAGUGUAAGUGACUAAGUGUGUGCGAAUGUGUGUGUGUGUGUGUGUGCCUGAGUGUAAGUGACUAAGUGUGUGAGUGUGAGUGGGUAUAAGUUAUGUGAGUGCGUGUGUGAGUGUGUGACUGGGUGUGCCUGAGUGUAAGUGACUAAGUGUGUGUGUGUGAGUGGGUAUAAGUUAUGUGAGUGCGUGUGUGAGUGUAAGUGCGGGGUGUGCG
rnacentral:lncRNA from 1 species